GAUGAACGCUGGCGGCGUGCCUAAUACAUGCAAGUCGAGCGAACAGACGAGGAGCUUGCUCCUCUGACGUUAGCGGCGGACGGGUGAGUAACACGUGGAUAACCUACCUAUAAGACUGGGAUAACUUCGGGAAACCGGAGCUAAUACCGGAUAAUAUAUUGAACCGCAUGGUUCAAUAGUGAAAGACGGUUUUGCUGUCACUUAUAGAUGGAUCCGCGCCGCAUUAGCUAGUUGGUAAGGUAACGGCUUACCAAGGCAACGAUGCGUAGCCGACCUGAGAGGGGGAUAGCCGACACGAGAGCUGAGACACGGUCCAGACGCCUAAGGGAGGGAGCAGAGGGGAAUCUGCCGCAAUAGGGGAGAGCGUUACACAGCAAAGCGGCGUGUGAGUGAAGAGGGUUGGGAGCGUGAAAAACUCUUUUUAGGGGGAAACAAAUGUGUAAGUAUAUAUACACAUCUUGACGGUACCUAAUCAGAAAGCCACGGCUAACUACGUG
rnacentral:rRNA from 1 species